AGUGAACGCUGGCGGUAGGCCUAACACAUGCAAGUCGAACGGCAGCACAGUAAGAGCUUGCUCUUACGGGUGGCGAGUGGCGGAUGGGUGAGGAAUACAUCGGAAUCUACUUUUUCGUGGGGGAUAACGUAGGGAAACUUACGCUAAUACCGCAUACGACCUACGGGUGAAAGCAGGGGAUCUUCGGACCUUGCGCGAUUGAAUGAGCCGAUGUCGGAUUAGCUAGUUGGCGGGGUAAAGGCCCACCAAGGCGACGAUCCGUAUCUGGUCUGAGAGGAUGAUCAGCCACACUGGAACUGAGACACGGUCCAGACUCCUACGGGAGGCAGCAGUGGGGAAUAUUGGACAAUGGGCGCAAGCCUGAUCCAGCCAUACCGCGUGGGUGAAGAAGGCCUUCGGAUUGUAAAGCCCUUUUGUUGGGAAAGAAAAGCAGCAGGUUAAUACCCCGCUGUUCUGACGGUACCAAAAGAAUAAGCACCGGCUAACUUCGUG
rnacentral:rRNA from 1 species